rnacentral:rRNA from 1 species
GACGAACGCUGGCGGCGUGCUUAACACAUGCAAGUCGAACGAUGAAGCCGGAGCUUGCUCUGGUGAAUUAGUGGCGAACGGGUGAGUAACACGUGAGUAACCUGCCCUUGACUCUGGGAUAACUGCUAGAAAUGGUAGCUAAUACCGGAUACGACCCUCGGCGGCAUCGCCAGGGGGUGGAAAGAAUUUCGGUCAAGGAUGGACUCGCGGCCUAUCAGCUAGUUGGUGAGGUAACGGCUCACCAAGGCGACGACGGGUAGCCGGCCUGAGAGGGUGACCGGCCACACUGGGACUGAGACACGGCCCAGACUCCUACGGGAGGCGGCAGUGGGGAAUAUUGCACAAUGGGCGCAAGCCUGAUGCAGCAACGCCGCGUGAGGGAUGAUGGCCUUCGGGUUGUAAACCUCUUUUAGUAGGGAAGAAGCGAAAGUGACGGUACCUGCAGAAAAAGCACCGGCUAACUACGUGCCAGCCGCCGCAGUAA